rnacentral:rRNA from 1 species
CUGGCGGCGUGCCUAAUACAUGCAAGUCGAACGCACAGCGAAAGGUGCUUGCACCUUUCAAGUGAGUGGCGAACGGGUGAGUAACACGUGGACAACCUGCCUCAAGGCUGGGGAUAACAUUUGGAAACAGAUGCUAAUACCGAAUGAAACUUAGUGUCGCAUGAUACGAAGUUAAAAGGCGCUUUGGCGUCACCUAGAGAUGGAUCCGCGGUGCAUUAGUUAGUUGGUGGGGUAAAGGCCUACCAAGACAAUGAUGCAUAGCCGAGUUGAGAGACUGAUCGGCCACAUUGGGACUGAGACACGGCCCAAACUCCUACGGGAGGCUGCAGUAGGGAAUCUUCCACAAUGGGCGAAAGCCUGAUGGAGCAACGCCGCGUGUGUGAUGAAGGCUUUCGGGUCGUAAAGCACUGUUGUAUGGGAAGAACAGCUAGAAUAGGGAAUGAUUUUAGUUUGACGGUACCAUACCAGAAAGGGACGGCUAAAUACGUGCCAGCAGCCGCGGUAAUACGUAUGUCCCGAGCGUUAUCCGGAUUUAUUGGGCGUAAAGCGAGCGCAGACGGUUGAUUAAGUCUGAUGUGAAAGCCCGGAGCUCAACUCCGGAAUGGCAUUGGAAACUGGUUAACUUGAGUGCAGUAGAGGUAAGUGGAACUCCAUGUGUAGCGGUGGAAUGCGUAGAUAUAUGGAAGAACACCAGUGGCGAAGGCGGCUUACUGGACUGUAACUGACGUUGAGGCUCGAAAGUGUGGGUAGCAAACAGGAUUAGAUACCCUGGUAGUCCACACCGUAAACGAUGAACACUAGGUGUUAGGAGGUUUCCGCCUCUUAGUGCCGAAGCUAACGCAUUAAGUGUUCCGCCUGGGGAGUACGACCGCAAGGUUGAAACUCAAAGGAAUUGACGGGGACCCGCACAAGCGGUGGAGCAUGUGGUUUAAUUCGAAGCAACGCGAAGAACCUUACCAGGUCUUGACAUCCUUUGAAGCUUUUAGAGAUAGAAGUGUUCUCUUCGGAGACAAAGUGACAGGUGGUGCAUGGUCGUCGUCAGCUCGUGUCGUGAGAUGUUGGGUUAAGUCCCGCAACGAGCGCAACCCUUAUUGUUAGUUGCCAGCAUUCAGAUGGGCACUCUAGCGAGACUGCCGGUGACAAACCGGAGGAAGGCGGGGACGACGUCAGAUCAUCAUGCCCCUUAUGACCUGGGCUACACACGUGCUACAAUGGCGUAUACAACGAGUUGCCAACCCGCGAGGGUGAGCUAAUCUCUUAAAGUACGUCUCAGUUCGGAUUGUAGUCUGCAACUCGACUACAUGAAGUCGGAAUCGCUAGUAAUCGCGGAUCAGCACGCCGCGGUGAAUACGUUCCCGGGUCUUGUACACACCGCCCGUCACACCAUGGGAGUUUGUAAUGCCCAAAGCCGGUGGCCUAACCUUUUAGGAAGGAGCCGUCUAAGGCAGGACAGAUGACUGGGGUG